GACGAACGCUGGCGGCGUGCUUAACACAUGCAAGUCGAACGGAAAGGCCCCUUUCGUGGUACUCGAGUGUCGGACGGGUGCGUAACACGUACGUAACCUGCCCUUGACUUCGGGAUAACUACAGGUAACUGGGGCUAGUACCGGUUCGGAAUCCUUUCUGCAUGGUGGGGGUUGGAAAGCUUCGGGGGGUUUGGAUGGACUCGCGGCUUAUCUGCUUGUUGGUGGGGCGAUGGCUUACCAAGGCGUUGUCGGGUGGCCGGCCUGCGAGGGCGACCGGCGAUAUUGGGUCUGAGGGACGGCCCAGACACCUACGGGAGGGAGAAGGGGGGAAUAUUGCACAAGGGGCGGAUGCCUGAUGCAGCAAGGCCGCGGGUGGGAGGACGGUCUUCGGGUUGUAAACCGCAUUCAGCAGGGGCGAAGCUUGUGGUGACGGUACCUGCAGAAGAAGCACCGGCUAACUACGUG
rnacentral:rRNA from 1 species